GGCACACGCUGUUCCCAGCAAACACACCCAGUGCUCUCCUGGUCUGACGCAUGAAGGCUCUUCACGGGGAGAGCUUUUCCUGUCCUCAUCGCUGGUGAAUGAGAAAACAGCUGGGAGAAGUGAAUAAUUUUUGCUAUCGUUGCAAAACGGUGAAGGGGCCAAGCGGAUCCCUGUGUGUUACCUGUGGCGCUAGAACUAGAAGAGGCGUUUUCAUCAGGAGGCUGGGAAGGAUCUUCACUCUCGAAAGCACAGGACGAUUCUAGAUGGAAUGUAAGAGGAUGGGGUUGGGCAUCAGGUCUGAAAAGCACUUCCGGCUUUAAGGCCGAGGGUUUAAAUAAAAGAGGUUGAGUCGUGAAUCUGCUCAGGGGCCGUUAGCACGUGAGGGACGCUCAGCCCUGGUGCACGGCCCGGCGUGGGGGGGCCUCAAGGGUGUGGGCGUGCAUAGAGUACUCAGGAUGGGUGCAGCGGGGAGCCCUGAGGGGCUCAGCCAGCGUCCUCCGCACCAGUGGGCAUGGCUUUACCUUGUCUGUUUCCGUCUAGGAUGCAGGCUCCUCAAUGGCAGAGGGCCUUUCCCCCAAUAUCUUAUUGUUCUCAUGCUGCCUGGAACCAUCAGCAAGUUGCCUUCAUUCAUUUGUUCUGAAAAUAAGCCUUGAGUGUCCACUGUACACUGAGGCUGGAGUCCAGGGUGAGCGGCGCCUGCUCUAGAUCACUCUCGCGAAGAGCUUCGGGAUGCGCAGUUACGGUGACCAAACAACUAAAUCGCCAAUGACCUUUCAUUGAUUUGAAUGUAAAUAUCCACAUGUGUCCAGGGUAUCAUAGUGGACACCACAGGGCUGGGCUAAUCUUAGGUUAUAUUUUGUAAAAGAAAAGAAAAUGUUAUGUACACCGGAGGCCGUGUAUUAUUGUUAAAAGUUUAGUAACAUUGUCCACUGCACAGGAACAAGCGAUGGAGAUCAACGCUAUUCCUAUGGAACGGGCCCCCAGCUGUUCCCAGGCGUCGGGGUCUGCAGGAUGGCAGGCCCUGGUAAGUUCUAAGGGACUGGGGGCAAGACUGAGGUGCAUGCCCAGGGUGCACCUUUACACCUGCACACCACCACCAGGUAACUGCUGCCGACCUCGGCAGACCUGCCCCAGGUCUCCUCGAUGCCUGCUCCUCCGUUGGAGAAGCUGAACACUUCCUAAGAACAGGGAGCCCCCCCCCGGAAGUCCCUUGCCUUCCCCAUUCUUCCUCUGCCUGAGUUUCAGCACGUGUCCACCCGUUUAAGCGACCCUGGUGAGGACGGGGUGAUGGCCCAGCUGGGAGCCCUCAGGAUUCCACCUCCUCCCAGGAUGGACGCCUGAACAACGCCGGAGUUCAGCCCUGGGUGCUGGAGUCUGAGCGGCCCUCGCCCACCACCUGUCCACGCCUCUGCCCAGCGGUCCUGGCACACGGUGAGCAGCUGGGUGUCUGCCCAGGGGCUCGGCUCCUGUGGAGGCCGUGGACCACAGUGGUGUUUCCCUGUUGGACAAGAGCUCUCCAGGGCUAGCGUGGUCUUCUUCGUCUUUGAAGCUCGACACCCAACGCGGUCCAGGGCAAACCCGGAGCUCGAUGAAUGUUUGUCCAGCUGAAUAAGGGUUUAAUCAGGCGCAACCCAGCCCCACACCUCCCUUUCUUGCUUAUUCUUCCAGAGACUACACCUGUCGGUCUGGGCUGCAGGUGACUUGGAGGGGACAUUUAAAGAAGAGAAAGAGUAGGCAGGCAGGUAGCAGCUGAAGCAGGGGACAGGCCCAAGAGAACAAUGUCAACUUGGUAGACGGUGACUGGCAGGGACACAGGGAGACAAACUAACUGAACUCCACCUGCCCUCAUGUCACCUCAGGCUACAGAAAGCUCCUUCCAAGGCCACCUCUCUUGCAAACCCUGGGCCCUUCAGGUCCUUGGCCUCCCUGCCUUCUGCACCAGCUCUUCUUGCAGGGGACUGGGUCUCUAGACCCUGAACUUGGGGACUGACUAACCCCCACAGCUUCACAAACACAGGCCCCCAGUAAGCCAAGUCCAGGUUUAAUUCCAUCCAACCUGGAGGAAUAAGUGACUCCUCAGAGCCAACGGACUGAGGGUUUCUUGGCUCACGAGGAAAAUGUUCUACGAUCACAUGAGCCCAGAGAAAACUCAGCUGGUCAGUGUGGUGUGAGCAGAAACUCUGAGGUGGACCAAGCAUCGAGCUCUGCAAAGCUGAUGUGAUCGGCUCCUGGCCCAUGGACUAAUUCACACAGAACUUAAGACCGUCCCAUCCAGCUGCAGCCCUGGCCGGUCCCCUGUGAUUUCACCAUUGCCUUCUCGCCUGGCUGAACAACUCAGGCGCACCUGGGGCUUCUCCCUGGGAAGUGUAUGGGGUGUGGGAUGCCCAUGCACUGACCGCUUUUCCCCCUCUCAGGGAUUGAGAAGCUGGGGGCCUGAACAGGACACCAGUGUGCCUGGACCACAUGGCCUGGUCUCCAUGGGAAGGUGCCCUGCGAGCUGGGACGUGGCUUCAGCCCUGCCAGGCGCAGGCGGAGGCUCAUCCACGAGGAACAGUGUGGCGGGGCCUUACCUAUGGUGUAGAUCAUAUCGCCCACGGGGCAGGAAGGGUCUGCUUCUCCAAAUUAACUUUCUGAUGGCUUUCCAGUGACAAAAAUAUUGCAGGCAGUUGCAGGGACUCAGGACCGAAUUUUGUUCUCAGUGGUAAUUGCUUCUCAGAUUCUAGGGCCUGGACUCAACCAUUUAUUUGCCCCUUUGGCUGAUUUUGACAGAACAGGGGGAAAGGCCGGCAGCUCCUGGGCACCCUGGUGAGAGAUUCUGGGUCUUGUAGCCCUACUGACCAGCUCCUUGCAAGAAUCCUGCAGGAAUCUAGACAUCGAUGAGAGAUCUCAGGGAUGAGACUGAAUGUCCCAGGCCCUUUACAUGGGACAAGUCUCACCCACGGUCCACAGAAAGCAAGGCCAAGUCCAGUCAAGGCAUAUCGACUGCUAAAGAAAUCUGAAGCGAUGGCAGGUGUCGCUUAGAAAACGAUUUCCUCCACUGAGUGAAAUAGAUAAGCCUCCGUCAUAAAGCCUUUAAUUGCCUGUUAAAUAUUUGACUACACUAAGUAGUUUUCCUUCGGGGCAAGCACUCCUACAUCACAGCAAAGGGGAGGUCUGUAAGAUCCGCCAAAGCCCCUGUGCGUGUAUACACAGCGGUGAGUGGUCAGCGAGCAGACCAUUUUCCCCACUUCUAGGCUUACGCUCAGUGUUGAUUUCUAAAAAUCAUGCCACUUUUACGAGGAAUCUUAGGAGCCAAACCCAUAGAAACAGCAGGCAGAGGGGAGGCUGCCGGGCCCAUGGGGCCGGAGGGUGAGUUGCAGAAAGGGACAGAGUCUGACUUCUGAGGAAGGAGAAGCCGUGGAGCCCGGCACUGUGGGCAGACCCUACACCAUGACCUCGCUGCACCCCCACGGCAGGCAGCUCAAGGGGGUGGGCAGAGGGCUCAAGGCCCACCUGGGCUGCCUUGCUGCUCAG
rnacentral:lncRNA from 1 species